GAGGGUGUAGCUCAGUGGCAGAGCGCAGGCGUAGCGUGCAUGAGGUCCUGGGUUCAGUCCCCAGCAUCUCCU
rnacentral:tRNA from 1 species